rnacentral:rRNA from 1 species
CUGCAUGGCUGUCGUCAGCUCGUGUCGUGAGAUGUUGGGUUAAGUCCCGCAACGAGCGCAACCCUUGCCUUAGUUGCCAGCAGUCGGCUGGGCACUCUAAAGGGACUGCCGGUGUUAAACCGGAGGAAGGUGGGGAUGACGUCAAGUCCUCAUGGCCUUUAUGACCAGGGCUACACACGUACUACAAUGGCCGAUACAAAGGGCAGCGACACUGCGAGGUGAAGCCAAUCCCGUAAAAUCGGUCUCAGUCCGGAUUGGAGUCUGCAACUCGACUCCAUGAAGUUGGAAUCGCUAGUAAUCGUGGAUCAGCAUGCCACGGUGAAUACGUUCCCGGGCCUU